GCCUUUGCGGCGGGCGGGGCGGGGCCGCCGCGGGGCCGCGGGGCCACCCGGUGCGGGGCAGCGCCUGGGGAGCCGGGGGCCGCCAAGGAGCCGGGAAAGGGGAGCCUGCCCGGGUCUUGUCGUGGCGCUCUUUGGCGGGGCCCGUUUCAGCCGCAGGAUGGCAAAUCGCGAGGCGCCUCGUGCUUCUGGGGGCAGCGGUAGCCCCGACGUCGUCUGGGAAAAGCAUCUGUUUAAAUCCAAACUGUCCGAGUCCCUGGUCCAGCUGGCGUGUACCCAGCAUUACUGCGCUUUCCCUCUGAAUGAAAAUGAGCUGUGCAUCUGGGACACAGCUGGUGCUGCUCAGCCAUUGCGUUUGUUAGGACACCAGCACGCGAUUUCUGCUCUGUCAUUCGGCAGUAAAGUCAGCCCGCUUCUUGUCUGCGCUGCUUCCUGCGAGCGUGUGGUGGUGUGGAGCCUCGAUGAGUGCACGAGGGACGUGCUGCAAGGGUUAACACCUCGAGGAAUUGUUAUAGGAACUCUUUUGGGAAUGGUGCUUCAUGUAAGAUUUAGUCCAGAUGAUCAACAAGUGGCAGUAUGUGCUGGAAAGCGGAUUUACAUGCUAAGUGCAAAGAAUGAUGCUGUACUAGCUGAAUUGGAAGGCCACCUAGCUCCAGUGACUGCUGCUGAGUUUUGCACAUGGGAGAAAAAUAUGCUUAUAUCAGUUUCUGAAGACAGAAGCUUUAAGGUUUGGGACUAUUCUACUGGCCUGUUAAUACAUCAGUCAGCAGUAUUAUCAGCAGCUUUUCCUUUGCUAAGUCUGCUAAUUGAUGAAGAAAAUAAACAGAUUGUCACUGGAUGUGCUGAUGGACAGCUUUGGAUCUUCAGUUUAAUCAGUGAUCAUAACUACCAUUGUGUGACACGUAUCAACUUAAAGAAAGAACAAGAGAAAUUCUAUAAUAAAAUGGGGAAAUCUGGACAAGAAUUAGAUGAGGGGCAAAGUACUUCUGAGCUGUGUAAAACAAACAAUAUGAGAUCAGAAGAAACAGUGGAAACAACAUUGCCUGUCCUCACAAUUGAACGCUGUGACCAUUUAGUAUGCUUCCAUAAAGAAGAAAACUUAUUUCCUGCCCUAAAUACUAGCUAUUUUUGGAUAGGAAGCUCCACUGGUUUGUUAAUAAUUAAUUCGUCAAACUUUGAAUUAGAAGCUGCUUUAUGUUACAAAGAUUACAGUGACCUCAGAACUCGAUUUGCUGGAUCGUGUGCCUUAGCAAGGAAGACAGUUAAUGGAAAGGUUUUAUGCUUGCUCUCCUCAAUGUUUGAAGAUAUGAUUGCAGUGUUGGAGGUUAACCUUGCUGCGUUGGUGAGAUCACAGCAGAAUGAUUUUCUCAUAUGUGGAAAGGAGAAGACUCUAUCAGUUAUUGCCAGGUGUUCUUUGUUGCCAAAUUCUCCACUGUGUAAAGGUUUAAAAAAAAAAGUCAAGGAACCUUCUAGUAAAACACUUGGAGUGAAAAGCACAGUGAAAGACCAACCAUUGGUUUUCCAGAGGAAAGUUAAGUCAUCAGGUUAUGCAACAGCACCACAAAUGACCAUGUUUUCUCCAGUUACUAACCUGAAGAAAAAUAAUGAAGUAUCAAGGUGGAAGACCAGUUGUAAAUGCAAAAAUAAAGAAUAUCCAUUGGAAAGUUCUCCUCCAACCAAAUAUGAGAAAGAGAUAUCUGUUGCUUAUAAACCAACCCCAAUAUGCUGCAUUCAGUAUUCCGGGAAUGGAGAGCUGCUGGCUUGCGGCCUGGCUGACAAAUCUGUACUGGUAUUUGAUUCCAACCUUACUGAUACGCGAGCUGUUUUUUCAGGUCAUGAUGGUGCAGUUAACUCUGUUGGCUGGAGUCAUGACAAGAAGUGGUUAGUUUCUGCAUCAGAAGACCGAACUUUAAGGAUCUGGUCAGUCUGCAGUAAAGAACCUGCCCUACUUCUGGGUAAAGACAAAUUCCAUAAAUCUGUACGCUUUGCACAGUUUUAUUAUAUAGAUACAUUUAUAUUGCUGUGUUGUGGAGCCGAAUUUCAACUAUUAAGUUUCUAUCUAGACACAGCGAAGGAUGACCUAAAACGAUACAAACAGAGAAGUGUUUGCAAAUUGAUAGAGAAAUUUCCCAUGGCUUCCACAAUGGAGAUCACCAGCCUUUCAGCAGUGAAUGGUUUCUACUCUUAUAUUGUACUUACAGCUGGUAGCAACCGAGCACUGGAAGUUUUUGACCUCAAUGCAGGCUGCAGCAUAGCAGUAAUACCAGAGGCUCAUUCCAGAUCAGUCCAUCAGAUCUGCCAAAAUAAGGGGUCAGCAUUCAGCGCUCAGCAAUCCGAAGCUUACAAUCUUUUCAUGACCACAGCCGUAGGUGAUGGCAUCAAACUGUGGGAUUUAAGAACACUGAGGUGUGAACGUCGUUUUGAAGGGCACAUUAGCCGCUGCCGUCCAUGUGGAAUUGCAGUAUCUCCUUGUGGGCGGUUUAUAGCCAGUGGAUCAGAUGACAAAUCUGCUUACAUAUAUGAGAUGUGUUCAAGCACCUUUGCAUAUAAGUUGGGAGGGCACACAGAAUCUGUCAUCAAUGUGACUUUUAGUCCUUCAUCUCCCCAGAAAUUCCUAAUGUGAAACUUCAACCAACUGUUGUGUCCCAGAGGAUGGCUGAUUUCUUUGAUGGCAUGAUUAUUCUUCUUUACAGAAGUCUUUAUAAAAACUCACUACAGCCACCUUGGAUGGCAAACUCCAGUUGUUUCUACCCUGAUGUUUCCCAACUUACGGAGCUUUGGCCCUGGUGCUCUGAGAAUAACAACUUGCUGAGAGACAGGAGACCAGUAACUGGGCAAGAAGCAUAAUAUUCCCUUCUAAACUGAAGUUUUCCUCUGAUUUAAUUUUCUGCAAGUUCCUCAAACUGUUCUUGAAGCUCUUCUGUUGUAUAGAUAUAAUCUGUUACUUUUAUUGCAAAAAUAAGGUCAAGAGAUCAAGAAAAGAAAGAGAGUACUCAUUCUGACUUCACGCUAGCAGAUCACUACGGAAGUGGCUUUCAGAAGACUUUUUGAGUGCUUAUACUUAGAUGUAUGCUGUAAAACUCUGCUAGACUAGAACCACCUUUCUGUAGAUUGCAAAUGUAGUAAAAAUAACAGCUGUUCUACUUUUGAAGCUACCUUUGCCUGUGACCAACUAUUUAAAUUAACCUGUAAGAGGGAAGAACUUUCUGUCUUCCUGAAAUGCCAUGAUGGUCCUUCUGUUAUAGUCCUUUGGGGUUACUGUAAUCAGCAUGGAUGUUGCUUAAAGGCAGAAUUUUACAGAAUUUUUAUUGCCCUUUAUCCUGCAUUCUGAUUAUCUCUUAGGGAGUAUGUGAGAAAGGUCAUCUCUUUAGAAAACGUUGUUGCUACAGUCUGAUAUUAUUAAAAUAAGCUUAUAUGUAAGUAAGCUAUUUUUGUAUUUUAAUUACUAUUUAAAUAUUUUCAAAAGAUUUAAGUAGUAUGAAA